rnacentral:misc_RNA from 1 species
GGUAAUAUUUACUGAAUUCAAG